GAUGAACGCUGGCGGCGUGCCUAAUACAUGCAAGUCGAGCGAACGGACGAGAAGCUUGCUUCUCUGAUGUUAGCGGCGGACGGGUGAGUAACACGUGGAUAACCUACCUAUAAGACUGGGAUAACUUCGGGAAACCGUAGCUAAUACCGGAUGAUAUUUUGAACCGCAUGGUUCAAAAGUGAAAGACGGUCUUGCUGUCACUUAUAGAUGGAUCCGCGCUGCAUUAGCUAGUUGGUAAGGUAACGGCUUACCAAGGCAACGAUGCAUAGCCGACCUGAGAGGGUGAUCGGCCACACUGGAACUGAGACACGGUCCAGACUCCUACGGGAGGCAGCAGUAGGGAAUCUUCCGCAAUGGGCGAAAGCCUGGCGGAGCAACGCCGCGUGAGUGACGAAGGUCUUCGGAUCGUAAAACUCUGUUAUUAGGGAAGAACAUAUGUGUAAGUAACUGUGCACAUCUUGACGGUACCUAAUCAGAAAGCCACGGCUAACUACGUG
rnacentral:rRNA from 1 species